AUACGGAGGAUCCGAGCGUUAUCCGGAUUUAUUGGGUUUAAAGGGAGCGUAGGCGGACGCUUAAGUCAGUUGUGAAAGUUUGCGGCUCAACCGUAAAAUUGCAGUUGAUACUGGGUGUCUUGAGUACAGUAGAGGCAGGCGGAAUUCGUGGGGUAGCGGGGAAAUGCUUAGAUAUCACGAAGAACUCCGAUUGCGAAGGCAGCCUGCUGGACUGUAACUGACGCUGAUGCUCGAAAGUGUGGGUAUCAAACAGGAUUAGAUACCCUGGUAGUCCACACAGUAAACGAUGAAUACUCGCUGUUUGCGAUAUACAGUAAGCGGCCAAGCGAAAGCGUUAAGUAUUCCACCUGGGGAGUACGCCGGCAACGGUGAAACUCAAAGGAAUUGACGGG
rnacentral:rRNA from 1 species